GGUUCUCCUCUGGCUUUUUGUCUGUAGGAAACACACAAUUUGCACAAUAUAAGCCUAUAAUGAGACUCUGGUGAAAAAAAUAAUUAUCUCGUCUAAUUUGUUUGCCAUGUUAAUUUCCAUCGUGAAUGCGAAUAGGGUCUAAACAAAAAUUUCUAAAUAUAACAUAGGUUGCAUGAUCAUUACCUGGAGUAUUGCAAAUCCAAGUGAAAAACCAAUAUAUAGAUUUAUCAUCGCAAGGGGCAAAACCUGAACGGAUACCAUUUCCAAAGAAUUGCAACAACUUAUGACCGUAGCCAUGGCCCAGGUUAAAAUUUGCACAUCCCCUUAUCGCUGAUCGUUCUGUAAAAACUGGAGUUUUAAAACCUAGCCAUUUCGCUACCACUGAGUUCACCCCAUCACAC
rnacentral:misc_RNA from 1 species